ACGAGAGGACCGGGACGGACGAACCUCUGGUGUGCCAGUUGUCCUGCCAAGGGCAUGGCUGGUUGGCUACGUUCGGAAAGGAUAACCGCUGAAAGCAUCUAAGCGGGAAGCCUGCUUCGAGAUGAGUAUUCCCACCCUCUUGAGGGGUUAAGGCUCCCAGUAGACGACUGGGUUGAUAGGCCAGAUGUGGAAGCCCGGUAACGGGUGGAGCUGACUGGUACUAAUAGGCCGAGGGCUUGUCCUCAGUUG
rnacentral:rRNA from 1 species